GAUGAACGCUGGCGGCGUGCCUAAUACAUGCAAGUCGAGCGAACGGACGAGAAGCUUGCUUCUCUGAUGUUAGCGGCGGACGGGUGAGUAACACGUGGAUAACCUACCUAUAAGACUGGGAUAACUUCGGGAAACCGUAGCUAAUACCGGAUAAUAUUUUGAACCGCAUGGUUCAAAAGUGAAAGACGGUCUUGCUGUCACUUAUAGAUGGAUCCGCGCUGCAUUAGCUAGUUGGUAAGGUAACGGCUUAGCAAGGCAACGAUGCAUAGCCGACCUGAGAGGGUGAUCGGCCACACUGGAACUGAGACACGGUCCAGACUCCUACGGGAGGCAGCAGUAGGGAAUCUUCCGCAAUGGGCGAAAGCCUGACGGAGCAACGCCGCGUGAGUGAUGAAGGUCUUCGGAUCGUAAAACUCUGUUAUUAGGGAAGAACAUAUGUGUAAGUAACUGUGCACAUCUUGACGGUACCUAAUCAGAAAGCCACGGCUAACUACGUG
rnacentral:rRNA from 1 species